rnacentral:rRNA from 1 species
UACAGAGGUGGCAAGCGUUGUUCGGAAUUACUGGGCGUAAAGGGCGCGUAGGCGGCUCGACAAGUCCCGCGUGAAAGCCCCCGGCUCAACUGGGGAACUGCGCGAGAAACUGUCGGACUUGAGUUCGGGAGAGGGAUGCGGAAUUCCAGGUGUAGCGGUGAAAUGCGUAGAUAUCUGGAGGAACACCGGUGGCGAAGGCGGCAUCCUGGACCAAUAUUGACGCUGAGGAGCGAAAGCCAGGGGAGCAAACGGG